rnacentral:rRNA from 1 species
UACGUAGGGGGCUAGCGUUGUCCGGAUUUAUUGGGCGUAAAGAGCGUGUAGGCGGCCAUGUAGGUCCGGUGUGAAAACUCGAGGCUUAACCUCGAGAUGUCAUCGGAAACCAUUUGGCUAGAGUCCGGAAGAGGAGAGUGGAAUUCCUGGUGUAGCGGUGAAAUGCGCAGAUAUCAGGAGGAACACCAAUGGCGAAGGCAGCUCGCUGGAACGGUACUGACGCUGAGGCGCGAAAGCGUGGGGAGCGAACAGG